UUCAACUGGGGAGGAGCGUUGUAGAAGAGAUGAUCCUUCAGAAAAUAAACGUAGAAGAGUAGCAGUACCGUUGAAUGUUGAGAAGUGUCAAGAGCAGCUUCAGUCUUAUUACGACACCUUCAGUAAGGUGAAAGUCGUUCCACGAUAAAGGGAUCGCAAAGGGAAUGUCAAACCUGAAGAAGAAUGGCCAACAGAUGAAUACUGGAGAAAAAGUUGGAGCUUCGUCCAUGGAUCAGAGCAAGAACCAGAUCCUGGGUCAGUUACCGACUUAGGUGACGAGGAGGAACCUCGGUCCUGCCUGGAAACGUAACUGACCAGGACUGGCUCAGUAGACCGCCUGUAAAUAGUGAAACUUACCAUUGGUCAGAACUGGCUGGCC